CCUACGGGCGGCUGCAGUGAGGAAUAUUGGUCAAUGGGCGAGAGCCUGAACCAGCCAAGUCGCGUGAGGGAGUACUGCCCUAUGGGUUGUAAACCUCUUUUGUCGGGGAGCAAAAGCCGGACGUGUCCGGCUGUGAGAGUACCCGAAGAAAAAGCAUCGGCUAACUCCGUGCCAGCAGCCGCGGUAAUACGGAGGAUGCGAGCGUUAUCCGGAUUUAUUGGGUUUAAAGGGUGCGCAGGCGGAUUUUUAAGUCAGCGGUCAAAUCGUGGGGCUCAACCCCAUCCAGCCGUUGAAACUGGGGAUCUAGAGUGUGCGAGAGGUAUGCGGAAUGCGUGGUGUAGCGGUGAAAUGCAUAGAUAUCACGAAGAACUCCGAUUGCGAAGGCAGCUCACUGGACUGCAACUGACACUGAGGCUCGAAAGUGUGGGUAUCAAACAGGAUUAGAUACCCUUGUAGUC
rnacentral:rRNA from 1 species